rnacentral:lncRNA from 1 species
UCAUCAAAGGCACUGGUUCACUGAAAACCCUGCUGCUGCUCAAACUCAGUGUCACACUACACCUCAUCAUCCUGUGCUGCACUGUUGCCACUAGCAUCUGUUGCUAGCCCUUUCCCUUUGCUUGGACUUAGCCUAAAUACAUCUGACAUUCCAGUCUAGGUGCUUACUGUCUUGCUAGAAUGCAAAGCCAAUGACUUGCUCAAUG